CUACAAUGGCUGGUACAACGAGCAGCAAACCCGCGAGGGGGAGCAAAACUUGAAAGCCAGUCCCAGUUCGGAUUGUAGGCUGAAACUCGCUACAUGAAGUUGGAGUUGCUAGUAAUCGCGAAUCAGCAUGUCGCGGUGAAUACGUUCCCGGGUCUUGUACACACCGCCCGUCACACCAUGAGAGCCGGUAACACCCGAAGCCCGUGAGGUAACCGUAAGGAGCCAGCGGUCGAAGGUGGGAUUGGUGAUUGGGGUGAAGUCGUAACAAGGUAGCCGUAGGAGAACCUGCGGCUGGAUCACCUCCUUUCUAGGGAGA
rnacentral:rRNA from 1 species